UGGGGAAUAUUGGACAAUGGGCGCAAGCCUGAUCCAGCCAUGCCGCGUGAGUGAUGAAGGCCUUAGGGUUGUAAAGCUCUUUCGCCGGUGAAGAUAAUGACGGUAACCGGAGAAGAAGCCCCGGCUAACUUCGUGCCAGCAGCCGCGGUAAUACGAAGGGGGCUAGCGUUGCUCGGAAUCACUGGGCGUAAAGCGCACGUAGGCGGAUCGUUAAGUCAGGGGUGAAAUCCUGGAGCUCAACUCCAGAACUGCCCUUGAUACUGGCGAUCUCGAGUUCGAGAGAGGUUGGUGGAACUCCGAGUGUAGAGGUGAAAUUCGUAGAUAUUCGGAAGAACACCAGUGGCGAAGGCGGCCAACUGGCUCGAUACUGACGCUGAGGUGCGAAAGCGUGGGGAGCAAAACAGGAUUAGAUACCCUGGUAGUCCACGCCGUAAACGAUGGAUGCUAGCCGUUGGGGGGUUUACCUCUCAGUGGCGCAGCUAACGCCUUAAGCAUCCCGCCUGGGGAGUACGGUCGCAAGA
rnacentral:rRNA from 1 species